rnacentral:lncRNA from 1 species
GCCCGAACCCCCAUUGAUGGAGUCGUUGAUGGUUCUACCAUGGUAUUUUCGUCUCUUGUCGUCCUGACUCCAACAGAUGGCAUUUCAAUCGGAGGAAGCAUUGUUAGAGCUGAUAAUGCUAUAAUCGACUCAGGAACUAUCACCGACGGAAAAUCGGGUUCCCUUGCUAGUACUGACUGAAAAUCAACCUGACUUUUUCUUGAUGGUCGGGAGGAGCCAGCAUCAGUCGCUGCCCUCUUCUUGGCAGCAU